ACACUCCUACGGGAGGCAGCAGUGGGGAAUAUUGCACAAUGGGCGCAAGCCUGAUGCAGCCAUGCCGCGUGUAUGAAGAAGGCCUUCGGGUUGUAAAGUACUUUCAGCGGGGAGGAAGGCAAUACGGUUAAUAACCGUGUUGAUUGACGUUACCCGCAGAAGAAGCACCGGCUAACUCCGUGCCAGCAGCCGCGGUAAUACGGAGGGUGCAAGCGUUAAUCGGAAUUACUGGGCGUAAAGCGCACGCAGGCGGUCUGUCAAGUCGGAUGUGAAAUCCCCGGGCUCAACCUGGGAACUGCAUUCGAAACUGGCAGGCUUGAGUCUUGUAGAGGGGGGUAGAAUUCCAGGUGUAGCGGUGAAAUGCGUAGAGAUCUGGAGGAAUACCGGUGGCGAAGGCGGCCCCCUGGACAAAGACUGACGCUCAGGUGCGAAAGCGUGGGGAGCAAACAGGAUUAGAUACCCUAGUAGUCCCAU
rnacentral:rRNA from 1 species